rnacentral:lncRNA from 1 species
CAAAAGUUAACGUAGAGUCUAAAUUGUUAUAAUAACUUAAUAAAAACAAUCCAAUCCAAGUGUGAAUAUUUUGCAAAGGUAAACGUAGAGUCCAGAUUUGUCAUAACUCAAUAAGCACAAUCCAAUCCAAGUGCGAUGGAAACAAAUCAAUCUGAUCUAUUCGUGAAAAAAAUAAAAUCAAUCUAAUCUGGCCGGUAUGCAGAUAUGUUUGAGACCUUAAUAUCGAGCGAAAAAGAGAAGCCAAAACCAGGUACUCCAACUAUCAAUGGCGUCAUGCCAUGCCAAAGCCACAACUCACAUGAGAUGCUCACUAAAUGACUUGAUGCGGAAAGGGCAUAAAUUUGAAAGAAAAAGGAAACAAUGCAGUGUGGAUGCUAUGCGUGUGGGAUGAAAAAACAUGGUUACCAAGCACAUUCGGUUUCCAUACAUCCGCAAAUGCACCGUCCCUAUAUCCAUGCAUGCGUCAACAUGGCCGGUAGCACCGUCCUCGCAACGGAAACGACAACCAAAAAGCCAAUCUACCAUAGGCGCACCCAAAUUCACAACCAUGACCCGCAAACCGGACACUUGAAGUCAAACAUCUGUCACUACUGGCCGACGGAAUCAUCAACAACACCAGAAAACAAUGGAACAAAAUAAGAGAGAUUUUAUGUCAAAUGUAAAAAAAAAGGUCCUAAUAGAUACAAAUUGGGUUGCAUAAAAAUCAAUGCUUACUACAUCACCUAUACCAAAAAUAAUUAAGAAUAAACAAAUCUAUAAUCGAUGCCCAAAAUGAUACUUUUCAAAUAUCUAAACUUAAAAUUUGCCACGCAAAUUGGAAUGGCAAAUUGGAACUGCACACGAUGUUAAUAAAAAAAACUCUCUACAUCUAUAACAUGUUGUUUUAUGAAUUUAAGCCCAUCUAAUCAUUAAGAAUAUUUGGUCGUAUCAUAAAUAAGAUUUAUAUCAACAAAAACAAGUACCUCCAUACA